rnacentral:rRNA from 1 species
AUGCAUCCACCACCGUCGGAUGCUUCUGAAUCGAACGGCAGCCCUCUCCCCCUCCUCUCUCACCUAAACCCUAACUCAUAUCCCCUCCUCUCCCCCGAUCCACUUUCCCCCUCGUCCCACAGCCGCCACCCCAAACCCUCUCGCUCCCCCACUGGAUCCCUUCCGUGCCGCCCUGAAAUCUCCUCUCCUCUCAUAUCUGCUCCCGAAUCAAAUCCCCCAUCACCUCCGCCACCCCCACCUACCCCCACCGCCGGCGCGAGCCGCGAGCACGGGAGCGCGAGCGGAUCGAUGGCCGGCGCGGGAUCCUCGUCGGGCGGCGGCGGGGGGAGGGAGGGCGACUGGGACUACGGCGGGUGCGGCAACCGCAACUAUGCCUUCCGCUCCCUGUACAACCGCUGCAAGCAGCUGCGCCUCCUCGUCGACCCCAACACCCCGCGUGACUCCAAGUGGCUCCCCCGCGCCGGCGACUGGAUCUGCAACGAUGCAGAUCUCAUCUCCUCUUGUUCUGCGCCGGCCAGACCAUGA